GAAAAGAGUAUAUGGCGGAUGCCUAGACUUAAGAAGACGAUGAAGGACGCAGCAGCCUGCGAUAAGCCUCGGUUAGGUGGCAAGCAACCUUUGAGCCGUGGAUUUCCGAAUGGGUAAACCUGUCCCGAUGCAGUCGGGACGACCGUCCCGUGAAUAUAUAGCGGGAUGAGUGGACAACCCGGUGAACUGAAACAUCUUAGUAGCCGGAGGAAAAGAGAGAAAGCCAGAUGUCGGAUUUCGGAAGUCGGAUAUCGGAUAAAUGAUCCGAAAUCCGAAAUCUGAAUUCCGAUAUCUGGAAUAUUCCCUGAGUAGUGGCGAGCGAAAAGGGAUCAGUCUAAACCUAUUAAACCGCGGUUGAGCCAGCUUUUUGGAUUAUAAUAAUUUAUACUUCAAAAUGCUGGUUUGACCUGAAGGAUCUAUGUCCACAUGUUUUUUAGGUGUUGCAAGAUAGCCGCGUUUUCUCCAUAGAUUGAGAAAGGUAAAGAUACAAAUUAUAGUUUUUAGUUGAAAGAGCUGGAAAGCUCUGCCAGAGAAGGUGACAGCCCUGUACGCGAAAUUAACUAUAACUUUACGGCGGCAUACCCCGCACCUUUUAGCCGAUUAGAUUGUUGUUUAAAAUAUUUUUUUAAUUAAAACAAUUUAAUUUAUUUAAUUAAUAUAAUUUUAAAAUAAGCGCUAAAGCGCUUGUCGGCUAAAAGGUGCGGGGCAUAUCUUAAGUACCGCGGGCCUCGUGAAAUCCCGCGGAAAUCCGGGUCGACUAUGACCCAAGACUAAAUACUUCUUAAGAUCGAUAGUGAACUAGUACCGUGAGGGAAAGGUGAAAAGCAUCCCGAUGAGGGAGGUGAAAUAGUACCUGAAACCAUAUACUUACAAGGAGCUGAAGCUCGGAAGUCGGAUUUCGGAUAUCAGAUUUCGGACUCCAGAUUUCAGACUUCGGAUUUCGUCACGCAAUAAUGCGGGAUGACAUCUGAUAUCCGACAUCUGGAAUCUGACAUCUGAUAUCCGAAAUCCGAUAUCCGAGUGACAGCGUGCCUAUUGAAGAAUGAGCCAACGAGUUUAUUCUAUGCGGCUUGCUUAACCCAGCGCUAAGUAAAUUUUUAAAAAUUUAUUUAGCGCUGGGGUAAGCGUAGUGAAAGCGAGGGUUAAUAGCCCGUAUAUCGGAUUUCUGAUGUCGGAUAUCGGAUAUCGGAUUUCAAAUUUUAGACUUUGGAUUAUUUAAAUAUAAUCUGAUGUCUGAUAUCUGGAAUCCGACAUCUGAUAUCCGAUGUCUGAAAUCCGAAAGUGUCGUCUGGAUAAGACCCGAAGCCGGGUGAUCUAGCCAUGGCCAGGUUGAAGUGAUGAGAAAUCAUCAUGGAGGACCGAACCCACUAGCUGUGCAACACUAGGGGAUGAGCUGUGGUUAGGGGUGAAAUUCCAAUCGAACUCGGCAAUAGCUGGUUCUCCUCGAAAUAGCUUUAGGGCUAGCGUCGAGCGCUGAACAUAGGGGGUAGAGCACUGAAUGAGGGCGGGCCGCAAGGUACCGUCUUUAACCAAACUCCGAAUACCUAUGCGUGAAGCUCGGCAGUCAGACUAUGGGGGCUAAGCUCCAUUAGUCAAAAGGGAAACAGCCCUGAUCGCAAUCUAAGGUCCCUAAAUAUAUGCUAAGUGUAAAAGGUGGUGUCGCGACUGCGACAACUAGGAGGUUGGCUUAGAAGCAGCCAUCCUUUAAAGAAAGCGUAAUAGCUCACUAGUCAAGUUGCCGCGCGCCGAAAAUUUAUCGGGGCUAAGCAUAUUACCGAAGAUGCGGGUUUCGGAAGUCUGAUAUCGGAUGUCGGAUUUCGGAUAUUAACUAUGGUAUAAUUAAGAGCAUGCAAGAUGUUACUGAAUUAACAAUUUAUCAAAACGCGUUAAAAUUGUUAAAGCCAAUAUAUAAAUUAGCGAAUCUGCUGCCAAAUAGCGAAUUUGAUUUAAGAAGCCAAUUAUUAAGAUCGGCAAAAUCAAUCGCUCCAAAUAUUGCGGAAGGAUUUGCUAAGAAGAGAUCGCAAAAUGAAUUUAAGCGAUUUUUAUUAGUUGCGUUAGGUUCAAGUGAUGAAGUAAUUACUCAUUUAAGAACUGUAAAAAUAAUUGGCUUUUCAAGCAUCAAAGAUGAAACAUGCGAUAUGUUGAUAAAAUAUUAUAAAAUAGAAUCAAAGCAGAUCAACAGAUUCAUUGCAACAAUUAUAUCAAAUAAUCCGAAGUCUGAAAUCUGAAAUCAGACUUCCGAAACGGUAGAGGAGCAUUCCAUGGGCGCUGAAGCCGCACCCGCGAGGGGUGGUGGAGCGCAUGGAAGCGAGAAUGUUGGCAUGAGUAGCAUAAAGGCGGGUGAGAACCCCGCCCACCGAAAGUUCAAGGUUUCCUGGGCAACGUAAAUCGCCCCAGGGUUAGCCGGUCCUAAGGCCAGCCGCGUGUAGUGCGCGGGUAGUCGAUGGAUGAGCUGGUUAAUAUUCCAGCGCUGCUGUUGUAUUCUCCCGCACCUUUUAGCCGAUAUUAAUAAAUUUAUGCAAUAAACUAUUUAAGGGCUGUUUAAAAAAUUCUUUAUUUUUAGACAGAACAUUAGUUCAAGCGCUAAAGCGCUUGUCGGUUAAAAGGUGCGGGAUUCCGAUGGAUUGACGCAGUCUAAAAAUUUGAGCGUUUCUAUGGUAUGAACGUUGAUUGGCUUAAGAAAUGAUCCAGGCAAAUCCGGAUCAAUAAUUUCAAGAGCCUGUCAAAAGGCAAAGCUUUUCGCAGAGCCGAUUCAAGAGGAUAGAUUGCCCAGAAAAACUUCUAGGAUUAAUAUAGCGGCAACCGUACCGCAAACCGACACAGGUGAACAAGGCGAGAAGCCUCAGGUGUACGAGAGAACCUUUGUUAAGGAACUAGGCAAAAUAGCGGCCGUAAUUUAGAGAUAAGGCCUCCCCGGUUCGGAUUUCGGAUUUCGGAUGUCAGAUUUCGGAUUUAUAUAAAUUAAUAAUUUGUGUAAUUAUCCGAUAUCUGAUGUCUGAUAUCCGAUUUCCGAAACGGGGCGCAGCUAAAGAGCCCUGGCGACUGUUUAGCAAAAACACAGCUCCCUGCUAACUCGAAAGAGGAUGUAUAGGGGGUGACGCCUGGCCAGUGUCCGAACGUUAAGGGGAGAGGUUAGUCCGAUGUACUUCGGACGAAGCUUUGAUCUGAAGCGCGGAUGAACGCCGGCCGUAACUAUAACGGUCCUAAGGUAGCGAAUUUCCUUGUCGGGUAAUUUCCGACCUGCACGAAUGGCGUAACGACUGGGGUACUGUCUUAACAAAGGACUCGGCGAAAUUGCAGGACGAGUAAAGAUGCUCGUUAACCAUAGUUGGACGAAAAGACCCCGUGAAGCUUUACUACAGCUUGAUAUUGAAUUAGGGGUAUGCAUGUUCAGAAUAGGUGGGACUCCGACAUCCGUCGGAGGCCAGUGAGAUACCACCCUUGUAUGUUCUUAAUUCUAACCCUAGUCCUUGAAUCAGGUCAGGGGACAGUUUCUGGCGGGUAGUUUGUCUGGGGCGGAUGCCUCCUAAAAAGUAACGGAGGCGUUUACAAAGGUUGGCUAUCCCGGGAUGGAAAUCCGGGAGAUAGUGUAAAGGCGCAAGCCAGCUUUACUGCGAGACCUACAAGUCAAGCAGUCGCGAAAGCGGAACUUAGUGAUCCGACCGUUCGAUAUAGGACGGCGGAAGCUCAUCGGAUAAAAGUUACUCCGGGGAUAACAGGCUAGUCGCGCCCAAGCGUCCACAGCGACGGCGCGGUUCGGCACCUCGAUGUCGGCUCGUCGCAUCCUGGGGGCGUAGAAGCUCCCAAGGGUUGGGCUGUUCGCCCAUUAAAGCGGCACGCGAGCUGGGUUCAGACCGUCGUAAGACAGGUUGGUCUCCUAUCCACUAUGGUCGCGGAAAUUUGAGGAGUCCCUUUCCUAGUACGAGAGGACCGGAAAGGACGAAGCUCUAGUGCGCCAGCUGUCCCACCAGGGGCAUUGCUGGGUAGCUACCUUCGGUUUGGACCCCGCACCUUUUAGGCAGAGAAUAAAAUUUUGAUUUUAGUAUAAAUUAGAAUAGAUUACUGCCUGAAAGGUGCGGGGUGGAUAAGCGCUGAAAGCAUAUAAGCGCGAAGCCGUCUCCAAGAUUAGAUUUCACAGGCUGGUCAGAGACUAUGACCUUGAUAGGCUCUAUGUGCAAGCAUGGCAACAUGUUUAGCAGAGGAGUACUAAUAAGCCAUUUGA
rnacentral:rRNA from 1 species